rnacentral:tRNA from 1 species
GGAUUGUGGCUUAGUGGUAGAGCACGUGCCUAGCAUGUGCCAGGUCCUAGGUUCGAUCCUCAGCACCA